rnacentral:rRNA from 1 species
GACGAACGCUGGCGGCGUGCUUAACACAUGCAAGUCGAACGAGUGGCGAACGGGUGAGUAACACGUGGGUGAUCUGCCUUGCACUUCGGGAUAAGCUUGGGAAACUGGGUCUAAUACCGGAUAUUGCAAGAUGAGCUCGCGGCCUAUCAGCUUGUUGGUGGGGUAAUGGCUACCAAGGCGCGACGGGUAGCCGGCCUGAGAGGGUGUACGGCAACAUUGGGACUGGGGUACGGCCCAAACUCCUGCGGGAGGCAGCGGGGGGGGAUAUUGCACAAUGGGCGGAACCCUGACCGGGCAACGCCGCGUGAGUGAAUAAGGUUUUCGGAUCGUAAAGCUCUGUUGUUAAGGAAGCGGUACUUAACCAGAAAGGAACGGCUAACUACGUGCCAGCCGCCGCGGUAAUAC